rnacentral:lncRNA from 1 species
GCAGUGGUACCCCUAGCAGGCCUCUGCCACCAACCUGGACUCUUCAGAGGAGCCAGUGUGACCUUGCUGUCGGGGCAGUGGGUUCCUCAGGUGGGAGCACUUUGGGCCCCCAGGAGCACACCUGCGGCACCUAGCUUUACUACUUUAUCAUCAGACCCCUGGCCUUGUAAUGCCCUCCCCACCUUUGUUUCCCUUCCUAGAAAAUGCUCCCCCUCCCUCUGGCCUCUACUUGAAUUCCCUGUGAUUCUCCCAGAAGCUCCGGUAUCGCCCUCAUGGAGCCCUCUCACCGGUCAAGGGCUGUGCCUUGGCUCCCAUCAUCCUCGGUGGCUCUGGCCUGCACUGCACAGAGACAGACAUACAUGCACAGGAGAGCCUGGCCCUGCUGUGGGAAGAGUUGGUGGAGUUGGCAUCCGAUGUCAGGAGGCCAUUGAGUGCCCCUGCGGCUGGCCUUCAACUCAGUCUGCAACGGAUCAGAAUGCCUGCUACAACCACACUGACUCACAACCACAAUCUCCACAACAACUGCAGCUCCAACAACCACACCGUAUGAUAGCUGAAAUGACGCCGUAACUGCAGCAGCCAGAGGAGCACACGACGCCAGCAACAAUCACCCUACUGUAUAGACACAGCCACCUGCAGCUGCCUCGUCGUCACCUGCCAUUUACGAAACAUGCACUCUGCUCUCACUUGGGACCCGGGUCCCCAGAGGGCCUCCCAGGCUCGAAAGCCUUCAGGUGGUAAGGGGUGGGAUGGAGUUCCUCAGGGGAACCAGGUUCAGGACAAAGCCACCUCCUUUGAGAGAAGGUGUAGUCCCUUGAGGACCCCCUGUCAAAUUGACCAUAAGCCCUCCAGGCCCAGCGUCCUUCUGAUUCUUUUCCAGUGGUUGCCCUGAGAUACUUAUGCUGCCCUCUAAGCAUAAAUAAAUGGCCUUUGUGCCUGACGAACAGGGCGAGUUGGCUCGAUUUCCUUUGGUGCUUGCGGCUCACGUCCUGUGGCACCAGGCAGCAGCUAGCCAAUCUCAAACCCCAAGGGAGGUCAAUGCUGUCCCUUUAGCAACUCUGUUCUGACAGCCUUUGGCUGGCCGCUGCCAUCCAGCUCAGCCAAAAGCACAGUACCUG